rnacentral:rRNA from 1 species
CCCUUAGAUGUUCUGGGCCGCACGCGUGCUACACUGAGUAAUUCAAUGGGUAAGGGAACGCUAGAGCAUUACCUAAUCUUGAAAUUUGCUCGUGAUGGGGAUCGACGGUUGCAAUUUUCCGUCGUGAACGAGGAAUACCUUGUAGGCGCAUGUCAUCAUCAUGCGCCGAAUACGUCCCUGCCCUUUGUACACACCGCCCGUCGCUCCUACCGAUUGAGUGAUCCGGUGAGGCCCUGGGACCUGGACGGAAAGAGCGUUUCGCUUGUUCUGUUUGGGAAACUUGGUCGAACCUUAUCAUUUAGAGGAAGGAGAAGUCGUAACA